rnacentral:rRNA from 1 species
CGGAUCAGCAUGCCGCGGUGAAUACGUUCCCGGGUCUUGUACACACCGCCCGUCAAGCCAUGGAAGCCCGUAAUACCUGAAGCUCCUGAAUUGAUUCGGGAACCAAGGUAGGACGGGUGACUGGGGCUAAGUCGUAACAAGGUAGCCGUACGGGAACGUGCGGCUGGAUCACCUCCUUUCUA